GACGAACGCUGGCGGCGUGCCUAAUACAUGCAAGUUGAGCGCUGAAGGUUGGUACUUGUACCAACUGGAUGAGCAGCGAACGGGUGAGUAACGCGUGGGGAAUCUGCCUUUGAGCGGGGGACAACAUUUGGAAACGAAUGCUAAUACCGCAUAAAAACUUUAAACACAAGUUUUAAGUUUGAAAGAUGCAAUUGCAUCACUCAAAGAUGAUCCCGCGUUGUAUUAGCUAGUUGGUGAGGUAAAGGCUCACCAAGGCGAUGGUACAUAGCCGACCUGAGAGGGUGAUCGGCCACAGUGGGACUGAGACACGGCCCAAACUCCUACGGGAGGCAGCAGUAGGGAAUCUUCGGCAAUGGACGAAAGUCUGACCGAGCAACGCCGCGUGAGUGAAGAAGGGUUUCGGAUCGUAAAACUCUGUUGGUAGAGAAGAACGUUGGUGAGAGUGGAAAGCUCAUCAAGUGACGGUAACUACCCAGAAAGGGACGGCUAACUACGUG
rnacentral:rRNA from 1 species